rnacentral:rRNA from 1 species
CCUACGGGUGGCAGCAGUGAGGAAUAUUGGUCAAUGGGGGGAACCCUGACCGAGCAACGCCGCGUGAACGAAGAAGUUAUUCGUAAUGUAAAGUUCUUUUAACAGGGAAGAAAGAGAAAUUUGACGGUACCUGAAGAAUAAGCUCCGGCUAACUACGUGCCAGCAGCCCCGGUAAUACGUAGGGAGCGAGCGUUAGCCGGAAGUAUUGGGCGUAAAGGGUGCGUAGAUGGUAUAGUAAGUCUUUUGUAAAAAUGCUGGGCUCAACCCAGUAGGGCAAAAGAUACUGGAAAGCUAGAGUAUGAGAGAGGCAAGUGGAACUACAUGUGUAGCGGUAAAAUGCGUAAAUAUAUGGAAGAACACCAGUGGCGAAGGCGGCUUGCUGGGUCGAUACUGACAUUGAGGCACGAAAGCGUGGGGAGCAAACAGGAUUAGAUACCCUUGUAGUC